rnacentral:rRNA from 1 species
UCUCCCUACGGGAGGCAGCAGUGGGGAAUAUUGCACAAUGGGGGAAACCCUGAUGCAGCAACGCCGCGUGAAGGAAGACGGUUUUCGGAUUGUAAACUUCUUUUCUUAGUGAAGAAGCAAGUGACGGUAGCUAAGGAAUAAGCAUCGGCUAACUACGUGCCAGCAGCCGCGGUAAUACGUAGGAUGCGAGCGUUAUCCGGAAUUACUGGGUGUAAAGGGAGCGCAGGCGGGACUGCAAGUUGGAUGUGAAAUACCGCAGCUUAACUGAGGAGCGGCAUCCAAAACUGUAGUUCUUGUGUGGGGUG